AUUGAACGCUGGCGGCAGGCCUUACACAUGCAAGUCGAACGAGUGGCGGACGGGUGUGUACUGUCUGGGAAACUGCCCGAUGGAGGGGGAUAACUACUGGAAACGGUAGCUAAUACCGCAUACCAUCAGAUGUGCCCAGUUGGGAUUAGCUAGUUGGUGGGGUAACGGCUCACCAAAGCGACGACUCCUAGCUUGUCUGAGAGGAUGACCAGCCACACUGGAACAGAGACACGGUCCAGACUCCUACGGGAGGCAGCAGUGGGGAAUAUUGCACAAUGGGCGCAAGCCUGAUGCAGCCAUGCCGCGUGUAUGAAGAAGGCAUUCGGGUUGUAAAGUACUUUCAGCGGGGAGGCGUUACCCGAAGAAGAAGCACCGGCUAACUCCGUGCCAGCAGCCGCGGUAAUUA
rnacentral:rRNA from 1 species